rnacentral:rRNA from 1 species
UACGUAGGGUGCAAGCGUUAAUCGGAAUUACUGGGCGUAAAGCGUGCGCAGGCGGUUUUGUAAGAUAGAUGUGAAAUCCCCGGGCUCAACCUGGGAAUUGCAUAUAUGACUGCAGGACUUGAGUUUGUCAGAGGAGGGUGGAAUUCCAAGUGUAGCAGUGAAAUGCGUAGAUAUUUGGAAGAACACCGAUGGCGAAGGCAGCCCUCUGGGACAUGACUGACGCUCAUGCACGAAAGCGUGGGGAGCAAACAGG